rnacentral:rRNA from 1 species
UGCAUGUCUAGUAUAAACUCGUUUGUACUGUGUGAAACUGCGAAUGGCUCMUUAAAUCAGUUAUAGUUUAUUUGAUAUAACCUUACUACUUGGAUAUCCGUGGUAAUUCUAGAGCUAAUACAUGCAAUUAAAAUCCUGACUUCUGGAAGGGAUGUAUUUAUUAGAUAAAAAACCAACCCGGCAACGGUUCUUUGGUGAUUCAUAGUAACUUUUCGAAUCGCAUGACUUUACGUCGGCGAUGGUUCAUUCAAAUUUCUGCCCUAUCAAGUUUCGAUGGUAGGAUAGAGGCCUACCAUGCUUUUUACGGGUAACGGCGAAUUAGGGUUCGAUUCCGGAGAGGGAGCCUGAGAAACGGCUACCACAUCUAAGGAAGGCAGCAGGCGCGCAAAUUACCCAAUCCUGAUUCAGGGAGGUAGUGACAAUAAAUAACAAUCCAGGGCUUUUGUCUUGGAAUUGGAAUGAGAACAAUUUAAAUCUCUUAACGAGGAACAAUUGGAGGGCAAGUCUGGUGCCAGCAGCCGCGGUAAUUCCAGCUCCAAUAGCGUAUAUUAAAGUUGUUGCAGUUAAAUAGCUCGUAGUUGAAUCUUGGGCCUGGUUUGGCGGUCGCGCUUUAGGGCGUGUACUGUCGGCCGGGUCUUUUACUUGCGGGGAACGUGCGUGCCUCUCGGGGUGUGUACGGGAACCGUGGCUAUUACUUUGAAAAAAUUAGAGUGUUUAAAGCAGGCGUAAGCUUGUAUACAUUAGCAUGGAAUAAUAGAAUAGGACUUUGGUUUUAUUUUGUUGGUUUCUAGGGCCGAAGUAAUGAUUAAUAGGGAUAGUUGGGGGCAUUAGUAUUUAAUAGUCAGAGGUGAAAUUCUUGGAUUUAUGAAAGACUAACUUCUGCGAAAGCAUUUGCCAAGGAUGUUUUCAUUAAUCAAGAACGAAAGUCAGGGGAUCGAAGAUGAUCARAWACCGUCGUAGUCCUGACCGUAAACUAUGCCGACUAGGGAUCGGGSGUUGUAUUUCAUGACACGCUCGGCACCUUAUGAGAAAUCAAA